CUUGUCUGUAAAUGAGCCUCUCUGAGUCCGUUCUUGCCAGAGCAUCUAGAAAUGUGAAUUCCAGCAUUUCUAAAUGAGUCAAAUGUGGGCAUAGCUCACAUCAUUGCAUACCCUUGUUCCCUAUACAGAUGGAGAAUUAAUUCGUAGUUGAUGUUGUAAUCAGAUAGACUUGAGGGAAUGAUUCAACAGGACGUUAUUUGGCAAAUGCACAAUGAUUAUAAAAUGCAAGUUGUUUCAUUUGUCCUGUUUUAAGAGUCAGAGUAGCAUGAGAAUUCAGCUUCUUUCUACCCUGGCAGGUUUUUUUCUCACAACACUUAUUUACAAGUUACCCACUGUCCAUCUGACCCUGACAGAAGGUACAGCUCUGAUUGGGGGACAAAUUGAUGAUGAAACUGACUGGACGAAGGUCCUGGGGCUACACAUACAGGACUGUGUGUCCAAACUGUGGUCGCUGGUCAGACUACACUCUUCCUAAAUGUGUGAAGGGGCUGUAUCAAGGUCCUAAGCAAAGGAAAACUUGUCAAGUCACGUAGCCAGAGCAUCUGCAGAAGAGGAAAUCUUGACCUGAAAUGACCACAGAACCAAAGAUCGAUCCUCCUUCCCACAGAACCCAAGGACUGGGGCACGACUGGAACUUGAAAGUCAGACGCUUAUUAGAAGCGAGAGGUCCCUCAUUUCGGAAGAUCUGGUGUUAAAGUUCUUCCUCAUCUCAUCAAAAAUGUUUAGAACUCUAUCAUGGAAGUUUAGAACCUCAUCAUCAAUGUUUAAAACCUUACCAUAGAUGCUUGAAGCCCACCAGUCAAAACCUGUCCUGCCAACAUUUCCUCGUGCCAGCCUGUUCUCAGUAACCUCUUAAAUUUCACCCCAAAUCCUGAAUUGAGGAGACAUAUCUGAAGGCACAAGUCCCCUUUCUCCCUGCAGGUUGAGCUCACAGAAUAAAGCUGAUCUCUUUUCCCAAAGGCUGAUGCCAUAAUUAAUUGGUCAUUUAUGUGCACCGGGCAAGUGAACCCCAAUUAUG
rnacentral:lncRNA from 1 species